GACAAGGUCCGCCCCAGCGGUCCGCCUUUGCCCCCAGGCGAGGGUUGGUCUUCUGAAGGCAGGGCCCAGUCCAUCCCGUGCGAGAGUCUUAACUUGGUCCUAUCCUUGGAGGAAAGGCGUCCCACUGCAUACAGUACAGAGGUCAGGCUAUCCUAGAGAGAAGCCACAUGGAGAGGCCCUGGAGGCUAAGAUCCAAUAGAAAGAGAAUUUGAUGGAGAUGAAUGUAUCGUCUCAGCCAAUAACACCAAACCCAUUGCCUUCUUGGACCUUCCAGUAUAGCCUAUCUGCCAGCUUAGUGCAGCCUCAUGAGUGACUCUCAACAUGAAGGAGAACUACCCAGACCACAUAGAAUUGUGAAAAAUAAUAAAUCCUUGUUUUAAGCCAGUAAGUUUUGAGGUGACUUGUUAGGCUACAAAAGAUAGUCUUCAACCUGACAAUCUUGACUUUACUGUUAGGAGAACUACACCUGCUCCUCUAGUCAUGAACAGUCUCCUACUUCAGCGUCCACAGGUCACAUAGCAGAAGUUCACACGGGUGAGAGAGUUGAAGGAACUUAAACCCAAAAGGCUUGUCUAACCUACACCUGAAUAGUUGCUAUAAGUAAUUAUGCCUCUGUAAUUUUGCCAUUCAGACAUGAAUUAUUGAGGUAAUUGCUUAGCACUUUGAGCCAUAAAGGGGGAUGGACUGGCAUCCUGGACUUACUGCCACUGGUGACACAUGAAAAGCACUGUAGGAGUAUGCGUCUGGCAGGGCACGUUAUUAUACUGUGCAUUUACUGUGUACUUUGUAUCUUUAAAGCAUUUGGUUUCAGAACAACCCAAGGAGGUACUCAUUUAGCAGAUGAGGAAACUGAGGUCACAGAACUUGCCAAGGUCACACAGCUAAGUGGCAGAGCCAGUAAUCAAAUAUAAGCAAUUUGAUUAUAGAUUGCAUUAAUGGCCUUAAUUGUUCACAUCUCUGUAUCUAUACUUUUUGCCAUGUGACUUUGCAGUUCCUCUCAUUAAAAGUAGAAUCUAUCCUCCCUCACCUGCACCCGGAUUCUGAGUUCUACCAUGUAACUUGCUUUGGCCAAUGUAAUAUUACUUUGGACAUAUACAGACUUGAAAACAACUUGCUCCUCUGCCAUGACCAAGAGAACAUGCCUGGGUUAGCCUGCUGAAGGACAUAUGAAAGCCAGUUUGCUCCAGUCAUUUCAGCAGAAGUCCUCCUAGAUAAGCCCAACCCAAUACAAAUGAGUGAACCCAGCCAAGGUCAAAAAGACCUGCCUAGCCAACCCGCAACUGACUGCAUAUACACAAGUAAGCCCAGCUUAGAUCAGCCAAGGCCUGAUUAGCAGAACUCCAGACUUGUAAAAUAUAACCGUAUACCAGAGUUUUUGUGGUUGUUACAUAGCAUAUUGUAGCAAAAAUAACACACUGGCUCCGGAGCCCAUACUCCUAAUAACUGUAUUGCUUUUCAAACUGUUGUGGUUUAAGUGACUGACAUGUGAGUAGAUAUAUUCAGCAGAGAGAAAUCUGAGAAGAGUUUGAAAGAUACAGGGAUAGUGAAAUAUACUUAAGAAUCAUUUCAAAAGCGUGACAACUGAAAGGGAGUGAAUGAGCUCUCUAAAUAAGACAAUUUAUAUUUACAAAGUUAGAGUGAUAGAGAUUUAUUCAACAUCCAGAAUAAAAGGUAAAAAGACAUAGGCAGAUAUUCAGGAAGAAAAAAUGACAAAAUGCAGCACCAUGUAAGUUGAGGGAGAGAAGUUUCAGGAUAUAAUUGUCACAGAAAGAGUCAUUGAAUUUUCUAACUGGAAAUUUACUUGUGAGUUCUUAGAGAACAUAGGUUUUGGAAUCAAGACACAUCUGGGUUGGAAUUCUGACACUUAAUAGUUGUAUGUACUUGGGCACAUUAAUCUAUUUGUAAACAUGUUUAGGCUAGUGCCUGACAUUUGCUAAGAACUCAACAUUAGUAGUGACUAGUCAUGGUUGUGUGAUUAAAAUCAUUUUGAAUAGCUCAUUUUUUUCCCUAAAGAAAUAGUUUCUUACCUAAUCCCUUCAUGCACGAUCCUUUAAAACAAUAAGUAUAUUCAAACCGAUCACCUUCCUUUAAGAGGAGAGUAGUUUUAAAACACAAGGAAAUUCACUCUGAUAUAAUUAACCACACAUAUUCCAAAGUUAUGAAAACAGUAAUGAUUGCUAAUAAGCCAUAUAAGAGAAAAAACUUGUUUUGAGCAGGGCGGCAAUAGAAGACAGAUUUGAAAAGGGCAAAUAUUGAAGUUGGAAGCAAAGAGUGCAGAACGAUGAAGUUUGUCAAUAAAAAAGUGAAGAAACGUGGUAGAUUGGUCUAGGUAAUAUUCAUUUCACUCAUCUCUAGUAAGGGAGAAUUUAGCACAUCUGAAGGCAGCAAAAGGUGCUAAUGAAGAGGAGAAGUUUCAAAAUGUACUGAGGGAUGUGAGAAGUCAUGAAAAGCACACUGAAUUAAAGGGGGAAGAGAGGAAGUCAGGGAAAGUAAAGGGCUUCUUUAAUCUAGAAAGAAGUUGCCAAAUAUUAAGAAAAACAAAGGAGCUUAAACUUCCUCAGUCUUAGCAAAAGAAAGGUAAGGUUAUCUACUGCAGCCAGGUGAAAAACAAGGUUUGGAAGAGCUGGAGUGAUGGUACACUAUCCUAAGGAAUUGAUAUAUUUUGUAUGUUAUAUGUAUUAUAUACUGUAUUCUUACAAUAAAGCUAGAGAAAAGUUAAGAAAACCAUAAGGAAAAUACAUUUACAGUAUCUAUUGAAAAAAGUAUAAGUAGACCCACACAGUUAAAAUCCAUGUUGCCUACCGGUCAACUACAUAAGCAAACUGACCCCAGAGUCUAAAAACUAAUCACCUUUAUGUUAUAAAUCAAUGUACUUUUAAUACGUGUGGAUUCUCACUAUCCUUUGACUGCAAUUUUUCUAUUUCUCAGCUUAAGGAUUUCCAAGAAAAUCCUCCUCAGAGAAAUCAUGUCUUUUAUUCUACACUUGUGAACACAUAUGGCCAACCUUUGGCUGAGAGUCUGUGAGACUGCUACCACUUUACUUACUAUAUUGUUAUGUACUUUGAUGAUUAAAAUGUAAAAUUAUAUAUAUAAGUUCUUAGAGACCAGUAUUGUUAAUAUUGUAUAUCCCAAUGACAAAUGCUAUUAAUGAAAAUGACUAAUACUAUAGUCUGUUUCAAAAGAAUUCACUGGGAGAUAACAUGGUGAAUAAGAGCAUUAAUAUAAAAUUACAUUGACUGGAGUUGGAAUCCCAUAUAUGCCACUUAUUUGCUGUAUGGCUUAGGGCAAGCCACUCUACCUAAAUCACAGGGUGUAAUGACGGCUAAAUGUAAUUAAGCAGUUUAGUAGCAUGGCUGAAGUAUCAUAAAUAUUCAAUAAAUGUCAAGCACUAUUAAAAACAAA